GCAGAAUUCAGUGAAUCAUCGAAUCUUUGAACGCACAUUGCGCCCUCUGGUAUUCCGGGGGGCAUGCCUGUUCGAGCGUCAUUG
rnacentral:rRNA from 1 species